rnacentral:antisense_RNA from 1 species
GAGAUGUUUGUUAAAAAAAAAACAGAUUUUGAUUUUCUAGAUCAAAGUGAGGACGCAGGAAACAUACACUUUAAAUAAAUUCUACAGAAAAUUUUCAAGUUCACUAACCAGAUGUGGAACUUUGGGUACUCUAAACUCUUGGUUCCUCACCUCCCUUUCCUGUAAAGUGAGGUUAAUAAUGCUUAUCUCAGAGCAUUGUUCUGAUAAUCACUUAUUGCCAUACCAGCCCCCAGCCUGGAUUAUUGUUUAUGCAACCUCUAUCCCUUAUCCUUACCCCACUGUAAGAAAUCAUUGAAAUUUUUAUGUGUCUAUAUCUCCAAACACCAUAGGAUCAUCAUCACAACUCUUUAUCUUUGCAAACCAGACCUUGACAUAUAGCAGGUGCUAAGUGUUUCUGAAAUGACUUAGUGAGCGAAUGAAUGAUACACAUUUCAGUGCUAACAAUACUACCCCAGAAAAAGGGAUUAUUAGUAUGGUGUUCCUUAAUGCUGUACCAUGAAGACCAAGAUUCUCAGUUUUGUCUAGAGCAGGAAUUCCUCAUUUUCUCUCUUUAGGUUUUAUAUGUGUGUGUGUGUAUGUAUGUAUGUGUGUAUAUAUAUACACAUAUAUAUAAAAUCCUCCUUUGAAAAUCCGAUGAAAGCUACGUAAACUAAGCCUCUUUAAAAAUGCAUACAAAUAAAAUCACACAAUUUUACAAUUUCAGAAGCUCCAGGAAAGGAGAAGACUGAUUUCUACUCUUCAAGCAUUUUUACUUAAAAAUAAAGCUAAAACAGUAAAUAUAUUAUUUGAGAAAUUAACUUCAAGCUUUUGAAAGACUAUGGUCAAAGUGGGGUUAGUUGGGAGACUUAAAAAAAAUAAACUUGGCUGGGCGCAGUGGCUCAUGCCUGUAAUCCCAGCACUUUGGGAGGCCAAAGCGGGUGGAUCACGAGGUCAGGAGUUCAAGACCAGCCUGACCAACAUGAUGAAACCAUGUUGGUCAUCUACUAGGUUUAGUCUCUACUAAAAAUAUAAAAACUAGCUGGGCAUGGUGGUCCAUGCCUGUAAUCCCAGCUACUCAGGAGACUGAGGCAGGAGAAUCGCUUGAACCAGGGAGGCAGAGGUUGCAGUGAGCUGAGAUCGUGCCACUGCACUCCAGCCUGGGUGACAGAAUGAGACUCCGUCUCAAACAAACAAACAAAUAAACAAACAAACUUCUAUGACAUUUUGCUAACAAUAGUACAAGUAGGAGUCACAUUUCUGGCAAACCAACAUGCGUUUUUUUAUGCAAGCUCCAGUUGUGCCAUUUGACUGCACUCAAAUGUAUUUUUUCCCUUUUAAUUCUAAUAAUAAGGGUUUCCUGCAUCUCUAUAUAUUAUGAUAAAACACUUCAUGGGGGAAAGGAGUAUCAUUUAUUCAUUAAAUAACAUUUAGCUCCUAGGUAUACAGUGUUGAAACCAAUAGAUUUGUUUCUUAGUAGGGAAGAUAAGCUACAAAUUCCAACAUUCUUGACCGUCAGUCCUAACUGCUGAGAGACACCUUAGUUACAGUGGUGUGCUGGAUCCUGUUCGUACCAGCUUGCAAGAGCUGACUGUGUGUAUCACUUCUCAACUCAUCAGUGGCUUCACAUUAGUAGUGUGAAACUGGCCGUACUGGAGCACUUGUACCACGUAAAUUAGCAAACAUUACAAAUCAAGGCUCUGCCAUGCCCAGUGAUUGGCAGUCACUUACCACCAUACAAUGUCCUCAUUAUACUAAAACUGUGGCUCUCUCAUUACAGAGCUCCUAGGUGGUAAUUCAGGUAAGGAGGGCUUAGAUCAACCUUUCAAAUCCUCUCUCCACCACCACCAGAAGACCCAAAAGUACAGGUGUAUUCUAGGAGACUUCGGGGUAUGGUCCUCUUUGGAUAGUAGGAGAAUGCAAUAUCUGAUCAGUUUGAGGCAAGUCUUUCCCUAUGUGGUUAAGAAGAGUCACAAAGUGGCCAAAGAAAAAUCAUGCAACUCCGAGUUUAUCAGUUAGUUUAAAUUAUAUUCUGAGAAUACCAGAGUUGGUUUAUCAUUAAUUACUGUUUAGUUUGAUGCAUGAUUAACCUUAAGCAGAUAUUUUCUGGCACCAUUUUGGUACUACUGUCAGAGUUUUGGCUUUAAAGGAUUGCCACAAAUUUGAAUGGAUCUGCCAAAGAGAAAAUAGCUUUGUCAACAAUGUAAGCGAUAUGCAGAGAAAGCACUAUCAAUCUUCUGAAGUAAGACUUAGGGAUACUACAGAGCAGGGCAAUGUGAAGAAUCUGGUACACGAGAUAACAAAACUCUCUCAACCCUAGCCUUCAAUGGUCUUGCACUACCAGCCAGAAAAUAAGACUACUCAGUUUCACAAGUGGUUGGUAUGGUAGUAGUAGAUGUCACAAAAACUUGUUGAAAACAUCUAGGCUGGCAUAAAAUACAUGAGGACCAAAGGUGAAAUGCAAGUAAGAAAAGAAGACAAUAGAGAGUCUACAGACAUGCCUGAUUGUCCAUGGCUGACACUUACCUUCAGGUUAUGGAGGGUUUCUGACCAUUCUGUGGACCCUAUCUGAGGUAUGGUAGUGAGCAGUAAGCUUUUGGCUUUAUUAGCAUUUUCUUUCAGGGUCUUUAAGACCCGGUCCACCGAAACCUAGAGAAACAAUAGCACUGGAGGUUACCAGAACUUAAAAUUCCACUGCUUGUCAUAAAACAUUUUUCUGAGUUCCAGCCUUGCUACAGCCUAAAUGUUUGUGUCCCCUCAAAUUUAUCUGCUGAAACCGAAUCCUCAAUGUAGGGUAUUUGGAGGUUGGGCGUUUGGGAGGCAAUUAGGUCAUGAAGGCAGAGUCCUCAUGGAUAGGAUUAGUGACCUUACAAAAGAGGCCCCAGUGCUAUUCUUCGAGGGCCCCUUCCACCGUGUGAGGUUCCAGUGAGAAGAUGGCUGUCUACCAGAAAGUGGGCUCUCACUAGACGCCAAAUGUGCCAGUCCCUUGAUCUUGGACUUCUCAACUUACAGAAAUGUGAAAAAUAAACUUGUUAUUCAGAA